rfam:Triticum aestivum genome assembly, contig: Triticum_aestivum_CS42_TGACv1_scaffold_361245_4DS
GAUGUACUCCCUCCGUCCCAAAAUAAGUGACUCAACUUUGUACUAGUUUUAGAACAAAGUUAGUACAAAUUUGAGUCACUUAUUUUGGGACGGAGGGAGUAGUUG